rnacentral:rRNA from 1 species
UACGGGGGGGGCAAGCGUUGUUCGGAAUUACUGGGCGUAAAGGGCUCGUAGGUGGCCAACUAAGUCAGACGUGAAAUCCCCAGGCUCAACUUGGGAACUGCGUCUGAUACUGGAUGGCUUGAAUUCGGGGGAGGGAUGCAGAAUUCCAGGUGUAGCGGUGAAAUGCGUAGAUAUCUGGAGGAAUACCGGUGGCGAAGGCGGCAUCCUGGACCGAGAUUGACACUGAUGAGCGAAAGCUAGGGGAGCAAACGGG